UUGCUUCAGCAGCCUAUGUACCAAAAUUGGAAUGAUACUGAAAAGAUUAUCAUGGCCCCUGCACCAAGGUGGCACACAGACUCUUAGAGCAUCCAUAUUUUGUG
ensembl:snRNA U6 U6 spliceosomal RNA